ensembl:lncRNA
AUAAAAAUAGGAAACAAUCCAUACGUCCUUGAGUGAGUGAACGGUUGAACUCUGAUACAUCCCUACCAUGGAAUACUCCUCAGCAAUGACAAGGAAGAAACUAUUGAUUCGGGCAACAGCUUGUAUGGAUCUCAGAGGCAUUUCACUGAGCGAAAAGAAGGACUCCAAGGAAUCUCUUCGAGUGAUUCACUGCACCAGAGCCUUCCUUCCAGCUGCCAAAGCCUGCGGAGCCCGCCUGUGACAGCCUGCCCUGGGGGCUGGAGUGUUGCGAAGACGACAAAUCAAAGCUGGCUCAGCCCGAAGCCUGCAUGCCUGUUGGGAGGGCUGGCAGGUGCCGUGCCCAGGGUGAGGAGGAGGAAGCCAAGGACAAGCUGGGAAGAAGAGGCCUUUCCACAAUGAAGACUGAUUUCCUCUGAACUGAAUACAAAAUAAAAUCUCUUCU